rnacentral:rRNA from 1 species
UACGUAGGGUGCAAGCGUUGUCCGGAAUUAUUGGGCGUAAAGAGCUCGUAGGCGGUUCGUCGCGUCGGCUGUGAAAUCCCGGAGCUCAACUCCGGGUCUGCAGUUGAUACGGGCGGACUUGAGUACUGCAGGGGAGACUGGAAUUCCUGGUGUAGCGGUGAAAUGCGCAGAUAUCAGGAGGAACACCGGUGGCGAAGGCGGGUCUCUGGGCAGUAACUGACGCUGAGGAGCGAAAGCGUGGGGAGCGAACAGG